UCAUUGAGCAAUCUAAAGGGAAAUCUCCCCGAGCUCGCAUAAUCAAGAUGACAGUAACAGAAUGCUCUAUGGUUUAUGGUUAGAAAGAAAUGCGAGAAUCUUUGAAAAAAACUGUGAUAAGCUCCUCAGUAGUAUAGCCUAUAUAUUUAAUGUUCGAGCUCCUCCUAGGCUUAGUUCAUAUAUUCAGCAGUUCAUGUUAUAACUGCUGACUUGGCUCGAGUAGUAUAGGUAAUCUUUUGUCCAGUUUGAUAGGCA
rnacentral:lncRNA from 1 species